rnacentral:rRNA from 1 species
GAUGAACGCUAGCGGCAGGCCUAAUACAUGCAAGACGAACGGUAAGUUUGAUAGCAAUAUUGAACCUAGAGUGUCGUAAGGGUGCGUAACACGUAUGCAAUCUACCCUCAACAGGAGGAUAGCUCCCCGAAAGGGGAAUUAACACUCCAUAAGAUCACAGGAUGGCAUCAUUCAGUGAUUAAAACUCCGGUGGUUGAGGAUGAGCAUGCGCAUGAUUAGUUAGUUGGCGGGGUAAUGGCCCACCAAGACGAUGAUCAUUAGGGGAACUGAGAGGUUGAUCCCCCACACUGGCACUGAGAUACGGGCCAGACUCCUACGGGGAGGCAGCAGUAGGGAAUAUUGGACAAUGGGUGCGAGCCUGAUCCAGCCAUGCCGCGUGCAGGAAGACGGCCUUCUGGGUUGUUAAACUAGCUUUUGCCAGGGGAGUAAAAAGACCAUGCGUGGUCAAUUGAAGGUACCUGGUGAAUAAGCCACGGCUAACUACG